CCAGGGCUCGCUGUCCCUCGGCCGGAGGAAGCUCCGAGCGCUUCCCGGCGUGUGCUGGGCCCCACCGAGCGGCCGAGCCCCGGGGGAAGGCGGCCAGCCCCUGCCCCGCCGGGCUAAGCCAAGCUCGGGCCGUAGGACAGCGGGAAUCAGCCGUGUCCCAGGGACAGGAGACAGUGAGGGAUGGAGAGGCAAAGAUUAGGGAGGAUGAGGAAACCCCAGGAAGGCAGGAAGGGUUUCCCCCCUGGGUUUCCCAUGGCAGUGUCCCUGAUCUCUUCGAGAGAGAAUCGAGGCUGCAAAGAGAGAAACCAGAGAAGACAGAACUUGGGAAGCAGCUGAAGGAAAUUGCCUGCGGGGAGCACAUUCUCAGCACCAUCAGCGCAGCUUAUUUACACACUCGAGGGCUCUCAGCCCCACAGAGCUGCGAAAUUCAAAGCCUGCUGUGGCAUUCGGAGCAUGAACAGAAAGGGGUUCCUCUAAAGCUGAAAUAUUUGACCGCAGUUUCUAUUGCAGGUGGUGCAAGCACACGCUGGCCCAGGGAAUGGGAGCAGGAACUGUCAGCAGGAGCUGGGGAUACGCGGAGCUGGCACGGGCAGAGCAGGGCUGGGGCAGCAGGGACAGCUCGGGGGCUGGCAGGUCCCUGGGCAUCCUCCCACCACCAGCCUCGGCACUGGCACUGGAGGCAGGAGACACCCAGCAGCAUUCCCUUCCUUCCUAACAACGUGGGAAGCGCCAAGGGAGAAGGAGGGAAGAUUUGAGUUUGAAAAGGCAGAAAAGCACAGCCUCGGGACGGUGGUAAAUGGGCCACACGGUUCCCAGUGCCCUAGAAAUUCCCUGUGCGCCGCACAGCGGGGUGGCUGCUGAUGCUAUCGCUGUCCCAGCUCCAUGACUAAGGGAGCUGGAAGGUAUAAAUUAAAUAACACAACACUUCAA